rnacentral:rRNA from 1 species
UACGAAGGGGGCUAGCGUUGCUCGGAAUUACUGGGCGUAAAGCGCACGUAGGCGGCUUUCUAAGUCGGGGGUGAAAUCCUGGAGCUCAACUCCAGAACUGCCUUUGAUACUGAGGAUCUUGAGUACGGGAGAGGUGAGUGGAACUGCGAGUGUAGAGGUGAAAUUCGUAGAUAUUCGCAAGAACACCAGUGGCGAAGGCGGCUCACUGGCCCGUUACUGACGCUGAGGUGCGAAAGCGUGGGUAGCAAACAGG